rnacentral:rRNA from 1 species
UACGGAGGGUGCGAGCGUUGUUCGGAAUCACUGGGCGUAAAGCGCGUGUAGGCGGGCCAUCAAGUCCGGUGUGAAAUCCCCAGGCUUAACUUGGGAACUGCAUUGGAAACUGGUGGUCUUGAGUACGGGAGAGGGAGGUGGAAUUCCUAAUGUAGAGGUGAAAUUCGUAGAUAUUAGGAGGAACACCGGUGGCGAAGGCGGCCUCCUGGACCGAUACUGACGCUGAGACGCGAAAGCGUGGGGAG